rnacentral:rRNA from 1 species
GGAAUUCAGCAAAUCAUUAUUUUGCCUGUUUAUCAAAAACAUGUCUAUUUGUGGUGAUAAAUAGUCUGGCCUGCCCACUGAUUAGAAUAAUUUAAGGGCCGCGGUAUUUUAACUGUGCAAAGGUAGCAUAAUCAUUAGAUUUUUAAUUGAAAUCUUGUAUGAAUGGUUGGACAAAAGUAAGACUGUCUCUAUAUUAAUUUUGAAUUUAACUUUUAAGUGAAAAGGCUUAAAUACAUUAGAGGGACGAUAAGACCCUAUAAAACUUUAUGUUGUAAUUUUAUUUAAUUAAAUUUGUAAAUAAAGAUUUAAUUUUAUUAUACAUUAUGUUGGGGAGACAAAGGUAAAAGAAUUUUUAACUGCUUUGUAUUUGAACAAAUAUUUAUGAAUUUUAAGUGAUCCUUUAUAAAGAUUAAAAGAUUAAGUUACUUUAGGGAUAACAGCGUUAUUUUUUUUGAGAGUUCUUAUCGAAAAGAGAGUUUGCGACCUCGAUGUUGAAUUAAAAUAUCUCUGUAGUGCAGAAGUUACAAGAGAAGGUCUGUUCGACCUUUAAAUUUUUACAUGAUUUGAGUUCAAACCGGCGUGAGCCAGGUUGGUUUCUAUCUUCUAAGUUGAAAUGAAUUAUUUUAGUACGAAAGGAGUAAAUAAUUAAAAUAUUUUUAAUACUAUUUUGGCAGAUAAUAUGCAUUAAAUUUAGGAUUUAAUUAUAUAGG